CAUUACCAGAAAUAUGGGACAUUUUGCUCCCGCUUUUGUAGUCAGCGGCUAAGUCCGUUUUAUAUGCCCAACAUUGCCUAAUAUAAGUCAUACGACUUCGCAUUUUACUUUGAAUCUCCAGUUCAAGUAUUAUUCAACCAAAAAGUGUGAUUUUAAACUAUAUUUUGCAGUUUUUGCUGAUCACUUCCGGUACUUUGACCUUUAACCCCGCAAAUUUUUAUCAAGACUAAAAAUAUUGCAAAUAUCCUAAAAAAUCCUAAAAUAUCCCUGUGUUUUUACGUGAGAGCCUGGGGUCUAGUUCUUCAAAAUAAACAAGAAACAUGGCUGCUCGAAACAGCUCAAAUUUGUAUUAAAACUUGUCGUUUUUGGAUAUUAAGAUGGCUUAAUGGCGACAUACAAGAACCGUAAAAAGGCGAACUUUUACACGUUUCGGGAACUAGUUUCCCUGGCAAUUACAGCGGAUUUAUUUAGCUAAAUUAACAGUUUGGACAUCAUUGAAUAUAUCGCGAGCUCCGCACUUCGCAUCGUCCGAAUGGAUGUUGGUCUAUUCGUCGGAUAUUUACCUCUUGUGUCACAAGUUUACUAUAAAUUACACUAUGAAAUUCAUCGAAUUGCGUGUAAAAAUACAACAUUCUCAGGAACCUGCUAGACGCGAUGCAAUACUAGCGAUUUUUGUUUAGAAAUAUUGCUUGUUCGUGUCGCUACUAUAAUCGAGCUCCGCACCAAUGAAAUAUUUAAACAAAGUAUACUAAAAUUUGAUAUUUUGAUCAACUCCCAUAUAGUUUAUAGUAAUAUUUGGUCGCCAUAUUUGGUCAAAGUGCGCAUGUCCGUCGCCAUCUUGUCCC